GACGAACGCUGGCGGCGUGCUUAACACAUGCAAGUCGAACGGUGAAGCGAGUGCUUGCACUCGUGGACCAGUGGCGAACGGGUGAGUAACACGUGAGUAACCUGCCCAUCACUCUGGGAUAAGCACUGGAAACGGUGUCUAAUACUGGAUACGACCAACCCUUGCAUGGGGUGUUGGUGGAAAGAUUUAUCGGUGAUGGAUGGACUCGCGGCCUAUCAGCUUGUUGGCGGGGUAAUGGCCCACCAAGGCGACGACGGGUAGCCGGCCUGAGAGGGUGACCGGCCACACUGGGACUGAGACACGGCCCAGACUCCUACGGGAGGCAGCAGUGGGGAAUAUUGCACAAUGGGCGAAAGCCUGAUGCAGCGACGCCGCGUGAGGGAUGACGGCCUUCGGGUUGUAAACCUCUUUCAGCAGGGAAGAAGCGAAAGUGACGGUACCUGCAGAAGAAGCACCGGCUAACUACGUG
rnacentral:rRNA from 1 species